rnacentral:rRNA from 1 species
UACCAGCACCCCGAGUGGUCGGGACGAUUAUUGGGCCUAAAGCAUCCGUAGCCGGUUCUACAAGUCUUCCGUUAAAUCCACCUGCUCAACAGAUGGGCUGCGGAGGAUACUAUAGAGCUAGGAGGCGGGAGAGGCAAGCGGUACUUAGUGGGUAGGGGUAAAAUCCGUUGAUCCAUUGAAGACCACCAGUGGCGAAGGCGGCUUGCCAGAACGCACUCGACGGUGAGGGAGUGAAAGC